rnacentral:rRNA from 1 species
GACGAACGCUGGCGGCGUGCUUAACACAUGCAAGUCGAACGGAAAGGCCUUUUCGGAGGUACUCGAGUGGCGAACGGGUGAGUAACACGUGGGUGAUCUGCCCUGCACUCUGGGAUAAGCCUGGGAAACUGGGUCUAAUACCGGAUAGGACCGCACUUUAGUGUGUGUGGUGGAAAGUUUUUUCGGUGUAGGAUGAGCCCGCGGCCUAUCAGCUUGUUGGUGGGGUAAUGGCCUACCAAGGCGGCGACGGGUAGCCGGACUGAGAGGUUGGUCGGCCACAUUAGGACUGAGAUACGGCCCAGACUCCUACGGGAGGCAGCAGUGGGGAAUAUUGCACAAUGGGCGCAAGCCUGAUGCAGCGACGCCGCGUGGGGGAUGACGGCCUUCGGGUUGUAAACUCCUUUCGCCAGGGACGAAGCGUUUUGUGACGGUACCUGGAGAAGAAGCACCGGCUAACUACGU